ACAAAUUCAUUUACUUUUAGGCCAUUAAGUUAAGCUCUACUACUCAAUUACUGAAUUCCACGGGCACAUACUUCACUAGUUCCUCACCAGGAGAAGUGGUCCAAAGAAAACGACAAGAAUAAUUACACACUUCAAUAAGAACACAGCUUCCUUGACUGCUCCUACAAGUCCAGUCAAUACUUUCUCAUCUCCUUAUGCUCAUUACCAACAUUCUUGCUUUUCUGUGUUGGCUUCUCUAGCUUGCACUUUUUUUUUUCUUCUUUGCCUCCUCAAACUUGGGCAUUGCAUCGUUUGCAAUCUCAUCUCUAGCAACUAAA
rnacentral:lncRNA from 1 species